rnacentral:rRNA from 1 species
GACAACCUGGUUGAUCCUGCCAGUAGUCAUAUGCUUGUCUCAAAGAUUAAGCCAUGCAUGUCUCAGUACAAGCCAAAAUAAGGUGAAACCGCGAAAGGCUCAUUAAAUCAGUUAUGGUUCCUUAGAUCGUACCAACAUUUACUUGGAUAACUGUGGUAAUUCUAGAGCUAAUACAUGCAAACAGAGCUUCGACCGGAGACGGAAGAGGCGCUUUUAUUAGAUCAAAACCAAUCGGCGGCGGGUCCGCUUGCGGGCUCGUCGUCGUUUUCACUGACGAAUCUGAAUAACUUUCUGCUGAUCGCACGGUCUCGCACCGGCGACGCAUCUUUCAAAUGUCUGCCUUAUCAACUGUCGAUGGUAGGUUCUGUGCCUACCAUGGUUGUAACGGGUAACGGGGAAUCAGGGUUCGAUUCCGGAGAGGGAGCCUGAGAAACGGCUACCACAUCCAAGGAAGGCAGCAGGCGCGCAAAUUACCCACUCCCGGCACGGGGAGGUAGUGACGAAAAAUAACGAUACGGGACUCAUCCGAGGCCCCGUAAUCGGAAUGAGAACAAUUUAAAUCCUUUAAC